rnacentral:lncRNA from 1 species
UGUGUAACUUACACAAAGCAUGGUCGAGGGGUACGGCCGUACCGUAAAACGAGUGUGGAAAGGUGAAAUAUCUGGAUUCAAAAUUUACCAUCUCAAAUAUAUUCGCGCUUUUGUCGAAAGACAUUUAAUUUACAUUGCGAACAGCUAAAUCUGUCUGAUUCUCUCUGAUUCCCUGGUUAUCAAAAGAAAAUUAUGAUGCAGUGUGCAAAAUCUAAUAUUGCAGACCUCAAUUUGCUACAGUCAACUAAUUUUGAAAAGUUUGUAGCUAUUUUCCCAAUUUUUUCACAUUUUAUGAUUUAUGUUCUAGUUUUCAAUCCAGCUUACAAGUCAGUAAAAAGGCACAAGUGUUAUAAGAUAAACUUUGAAAUGAUCCUCCACUCCUUUACCAACUCAAGCACUAUGAUCAUCUAUUCAUCAAGUACUAUGAUCACCCACUCAUUUACCAA